AGCUUCCAGUGGGGACAGCUUCCAGCGGGGACAGCUUCCAGCGGGGGCAGCUUCCAGCAGGGGCAGCUUCCAACAGGGGCAGCUUCCAACAGGGGCAGCUUCCACAGGGGCAGCUUCCAGCAGGGACAGCUUCCACAGGGGCAGCUUCCACAGGGGCAGCUUCCACAGGGGCAGCUUCCACAGGGGCAGCUUCCAGCAAGGAGAAGCCUGCGGCAGGCAGAGCCAUCCAGCCCGGCUGCCGGGGGCUGGCCCUGCACCCCUGGGAUGGGAGGGCUGCUCGGGGUUUUACCUUUGUUCCCCAAACCGAGGCGGGUUUUGGAGCAGCUGUGGCUCUCGGCAGGGUUAGGAAGGAGCGAGUUGAGGGGAAUUCAGGAAUGAGCUCCGUGGGUGCAGAGCCUGGCACUGGGAAAAGCUGCUGCUGACCCGGCUGCAAUCCCACCGCGCAUCCUCCAGCUCGGCUUUCGGCAGCUUAAUGAAAUGGUCCCAUUUCCUUCUUCCAGCUGUGCCCGCUGCUAAGUGCCUGGAAAACGCGUUCCCGAGGGAACAAUCCUGCGAGUGAGAUGGGAACGACCUGCCGUGCCUGCAUUAGUCUCGGUGUCACCACUUUGGCCUCUUCGCUGUUAAAGCGAUUUUCCCUUUCCCGGUUCCCGCGGGCCUCACCAGGCGAGGGGCUUGGGAAAACACUCCUCGGGCAGCACAGGGGGCCCGGGGGGCGCAGGACCCCCCUGCACACCCGGCCCGAGGGGAAGGAGAGGGGCUGGGAAGAGCCAGUGCUGGGCUCUGCCUUCAUCUGCACCCGCGGCCGCUCAGCAAAGUGAAACGAAGCGGCGGAAAUUUAAUUGAUGGCAGAAUCUGGCUCAGUGUCGAGAGAGGGACACAGAAUGAGUGCGAAAACAAAUUUCUCAGUGAGUUUAUUAACCCCGAGGUUAGAUCCCAGACAAUAAACCCUGCAGCUACUGCUCUGGGGCUGGGGGCUCUGGGGUCCCCCCGUGCCCUCCCCAGGCUGGCCCUGCUCCAGGUGGGCAGAGAGGAGCCAGUUAGGGCAAGAAAGGGCUGGUUUUGUUCGCUUUUUAAAGACAGAAAUACAGCAAAGCUAGGCUAAGUGACUGACUGAAGGAAGGCAAACCUGCUACAUCCUCCUUGCCAUGGAGUCUCAGCUCCAGGAACCUCCUGCCUCCUCCCGCAGAGCUGCUUCAGGGAAAGAAAGCGCAGUAACUGACAUCAUUUGAUGGUAAUUACAUUGAAUCAUAAAACAACAUGAGUUACAUGAACAGAAAGCCAUUUCUGCUGUGAUAUCACGGCUCCUGGGAGAAGGUGCCACAUCUUUUUCCAAGCACUUUUGCUCGUUCCCAGGCAGCGUUUUUGGGAUGUGCUCAGCUCUCCUCAGCCUCGCUGUCCCUGGCAGCUGCAGCAGCCCAAGCCCUGCUGGGCUCCGCUCCACCCCUGCUCUGGGACGGGGCUGUGGCAGAAAAAACCCUGGGGAAAAACCAGGAACUUCUGACGGCACAAGGAAGCGAAAGCAUCGUUUUCCUCCUUUAUUGAACUUUGGCAAAUAAUAUGUGUGUGUGGGUUUUACAUCAAUAGCUAUAAAUAAAACUUUGAAAGCAAUGUAAUACUUGUCAUUGAGAUAAAGGACAUCUAUUGGCACAAAUCAGUGAGUAAAAACCCUUUAAUGAUAAAAUAACAUUCACUCUUUAGCUACUUUAUUUGUCUGAAAAACUCAGCUUACACUCAGUUCAACAUACCACCUUCCACAAAGUUAAAAAAUGACAUAAAAUGACAUAAUAAAAUAGACCUUAAAUUUCAUAAUACAAGUGAGUACCUUGGCAAAUUGCAGCCAGCUGGAGCAGCUGGUGGCAGCCCCGCCGUGCCCUUGCCAUGGCCUCAGGUCCCCCAGUGUCCCCCAGGUGCUCAGGACUGAGGGAUGCAGUGUCCCCGUGCCCUUGCCAUGGCCUCAUGUCCCCCAAUGUCCCCUGUGCUGCUCAGGACUGAGGGAUGCAGGUGUCCCCACGCCCCGUUUGGUGACGAGUGCUGGCAUCUGCCAGCAAGGCUCUGCCCGAGCAUCCUGGCUCUGCUUAUUGCGGAAGAACGUGGAAGGCUUUCGGGAAGAUUAACCACUGUUACAAUCAUCAACUGUCUCACAAAAACCCCCACUUCAGCUUCUUGUGUCCGGUAGCGUCUUUGGCAGAGAAAAUCAGCCACAGCCAGGCACCAGGGGGAUGAGAAGGGGUCCUGGGGGAUGAGAAGGGGUCCCAGGGGACAUGAAGGGGUCCCAGGGGGAUGUGAGUGGGUCCUGGGGGAGGAGAAGGGGUCCCAGGUGACAUGAAGGGGUCCCAGGGGGAUGUGAAGGGGUCCCAGGGGGACAUGGGGGGCUCCAGAGACCAGCAGAUCAAAGCCAUCCUUACAGGGGGUGGCUGGAGCAUCAGUGUGGCCUGCAGCACGGACAAACCAAAGGGGGUAAAGCACCUCUAACCCCGCUCGGGGCAGGGUGAGGGCUGCCAGAGCCAGGGACAAACCAAAGGGGGUAAAGCACCUCUAACCCCGCUCGGGGCAGGGUGAGGGGCUGCCAGAGCCAGGGACAAACCAAAGGGGGUAAAGCACCUCUAACCCCGCUCGGGGCAGGGUGAGGGCUGCCAGAGCCAGGGAGGACACAGCACCUCUAAACCUGGCCUGGGGCAGGGUGAGAGCUGCCGGAGCCAGGGCCCAGCCCAGCCAGGGGACGGGGGCGCGGUGGCAGCGCUGCUGUCCCCAGGCCCGUGUCCCUGCCCGUGCUGGCACAGCAGCAGCUGAGCACCCGUCCCGUCCAUCCCGGGGCUGCCAUAAAGCCAGAGCAGCUCCUGAUCCCGGGAAAAGGCGCCUGGUCAGGAGCAGGGUGGGCACUGCCAGGAGGCCGAGCCGACAGAACUGGGGAGGAGCGGCUGGGUGGCCAAAGUUCUCCUCAAAUGGAGAAGGGAGCGGACACUCCACGCCACUGGAGCUGAAUUUGGGUGUGUUGGACACGGGCCGGUGCUGAGCCCCACGGGGAGAACACGAUGUCACAGCGUUCACACGACCGCGCCGCGCUGCCCACAGCCAACGGGCUCCGCGCACAGAGAAAUCCCAACAGCCCAAAGAGCUCGGCCCAAAGGCAGAGGAAGAAGUCGCCAUCAAGAACCACGAUGCAUCACACUCCUAAGGGUUUGCCUCAUGCAUAAACACGGCAGCGCUGAUUGGCAGCUGCUAAUUAUAAUACUACACCGUCACACAGGACAAUCAGCUCUUCAGACCAAGUAGCACAAAUAGCAAAUGAACACAGAUUGUUUCUUCAGCAAAAUAUGAAACUGUAAACUUUGGGCUCAUUCUGCAACUUUUCCCCGAUCCAUAAUAACAAAAAAAAACCCAAUGGGAAGAAAGACUGACGUACAUUUUUAAGCGCACCUUCUCCGUCUAGUACAAAAGCACAACCUAAAACAUAUAAAGCUUCUUCUUCUUCUU